AUUGAACGCUGGCGGCAGGCCUCACACAUGCAAGUCGAACGAGUGGCGGACGGGUGAGUAAUGUCUGGGAAACUGCCUGAUGGAGGGGGAUAACUCCUGGAAACGGUCGCUUAUACCGCAUACCAUCAUAUUUGCCCAGAUGGGAUUAGCUUGUUGGUGGGGUAACGGCUCACCAAGGCGGCGAUCCCUAGCUGGUCUGAGAGGAUGACCAGCCAGACUGGAACGGAGACACGGUGCAGACUCCUACGGGAGGCAGCAGUGGGGAAUAUUGCACAAUGGGCGCAAGCCUGAUGCAGCAAUGCCGCGUGUAUGAAGAAGGCCUUCGGGUUGUAAAGUACUUUCAGCGGGGAGGCGUUACCCGCAGAAGAAGCACCGGCUAACUCCGUGCCAGCAGCCGCGGUAAUAC
rnacentral:rRNA from 1 species